rnacentral:rRNA from 1 species
GAUGAACGCUGGCGGCGUGCCUAACACAUGCAAGUCGAACGGAGUUAUUAUUAUGAAGUUUUCGGAUGGAUUAAUAAUAACUUAGUGGCGGACGGGUGAGUAACGCGUGGGUAACCUGCCUCAUACAGGGGGAUAACAGUUGGAAACGGCUGCUAAAACCGCAUAACAUUGCGAUGUCGCAUGACAAUGCAAUUAAAUAUUUAUAGGUAUGAGAUGGGCCCGCGUCUGAUUAGCUAGUUGGUGGGGUAAUGGCAUACCAAGGCGACGAUAAGUAUCCAGCUUGAGAGAGUAACCGGCCACAUUGGGACUGAGACACGGCCCAAACUCCUACGGGAGGCAGCAGUGGGGAAUAUUGCACAAUGGGGGAAACCCUGAUGCAGCGACGCCGCGUGAGUGAAGAAGUAUUUCGGUAUGUAAAGCUCUAUCAGCAGGGAAGAAAAUGACGGUACCUGACUGAGAAGCCCCGGCUAACUACGUGCCAGCCGCCGCCGUAA